CCCCUCCUUGCCAGAGCAACCAGGCAAGCAAACCCCCCUUGAGCAUUCCGAUAUCGCCCAUUUCUUUCCCUCUCAUGCUUGCAUUAGAACUGCUACUGCUUUCUGUAUGAUCCUACUCCGAUGCAUAGCCUGUUGUUGUUACCUGCUUUCAUACCUUAGCUGCUUAUCCUAAACUGCUUAGUAUAGGUUGGUUAGUGAUCCAUCAGUGGCCCCACCUUGUCCCAGUCACCUCGCUUUAUAUUCGAUGACUCGAUCAACGUGAUCAACGUCCAGGCCCCGACACCGCACAUCACCCCCCUUAGUUGUACGACUCUGCAGAGUUACCAUCGAGUGCCGAGGGUGGAACCUCUUACAUCACUCCUGAUGAGAUCUCUGUAGUGUAGCUAUACGGUUGAGGUUAUAGAGGGUGAUUUCCUCCUUAACCACUUCCGUUACGGCUCUGUCAUGCAACCCAUCAAAUGUGAACCUCGAGGGUGGAUCCUCUUACAUUCACCUUGAUGACAACAUCGAGUGGAAUUCACCGGGGGUGAUUCCUCGGGUUUUCCCCUUGGUUUUAGACACACAGUUACUAUGGUUACUUUGACUUUGCACUGAGCCAUGUUACUAAGACGGGUCGGCCUUGAGGGGUACCCGCGCGAGCUUAAUAGCGAGUGAUGUGGAGUCGGUUGAACUGGAAGGUGCCCGCGAGAUACUUACAAGGUGUGGCCAGGCAUUCUUAGCCCCUGCCGCAAGUACUUGAGACGGGGCAACGGGGACACAUCUUUCGUGAGUCUCUGCUUGUUACCGUGCGUUCCUAAUCCACUACGAUUUGGAUAUUUGAUCCAAGGGGCCUCUGGCCUGAUAGCACUAACCAUCACGUGGGCAUAGUAUGGGCGUUCUGCAUCGUGCCAAAGCUUAAUAGACGUCAGCGACUGAGCGGCGUGCGCCGGGUUGGACUGGAAAGCACCUACCUUAUUGAAGGAGGUACCUAGGUCUGCUCACCGGCCGCGUACGCAAUGUGCAGGAGUUCCCGGGGAGAUGGCCCAUGACCCCUGGGGGCAUAGGUUUAGUCCGACGUGCUGGCCUCUCUAUUGAGCCUAGGUCGGGUUGCGGCGUAUUGUUUGGCUGAGGCCGGGCAUGACCCAGGAAAGUGUGUCCGGCCGGAGUUAAUCGAGCGUGGUGGGUAAGUUGGUGCACCCCUGCAGGGAAGAAAACAUCUAUCGAUAGCCUGUCCUACGGUAACGGACACUUGGAGUUGUAUCCCGAUCGAUACAACUAGAACUGAGACAUGGAGAUGAGACUUGGAUAUGAGAUGAUAAUUGGAUAGUAUGGCUCUGGGAUUGCUUUCUUGCAGGGAGUCGAGAAAGGAUCUCUGGCCGAGGUUGAUAACUCUACCACUUUACUUUAUGCUAAUCUUAUCUCUCCUGAUGCUGCAAGAUGCUUGAAGAUGCUAGUCUUCGAUAGGCUAGACUUUCCCCUUCCUUCUGACAUUCUGCAGUUUAGUCCACAGAUACAACCCAUUCCUUUCAUACAGAUGCAUACUUAGUUUAGAUCUGAUGUAAGUCUUGCGAGUACUUUGGAUGAGUACUCACGCUUGCUUUGCUACUUCUUUUUCCCCAUACCCAAUUGUUGCGACCAGAUGACGGAUCCCAGGAGCCAGACGACGCCACUGAUGACUACUACUACCCGGAGGAUGCCUACUACUACGUGAAGACCGCCGACGACUAGGAGUAGUUAGGAGGCUCCCAGGCAGGAGGCCUUGCCCUUCCGAUCGUUGUUGCUUUAGUGCUAGCCUUCUUAAGGCAAACUUGUCUAACUUAUGUCUGUACUCAGAUAUUCUUGCUUCCGCUGACUCUUGUGUACUCGAGCUUAUGUAUUCGAGCCCUCGAGGCCCCUGGCUUGUAAUAUAAAACUUGUAUUAUUUUAAUUUGUGUCUACAGUUGUGUUGUGAUAUCUUCCCGUGAGUCCUUGAUCUUGAUCGUACACAUUUGCAUGUAUGAUUAGUGUACGAUUGAAUCGAGGGCGUCACACAUCCGAUAGUUGAAAACCCAUUCUCAACAAACAAAUGAUGUGAUAUGUACGUACAUAUUGAUGUG
rnacentral:lncRNA from 1 species